rnacentral:rRNA from 1 species
ACGGGGCGCAGCAGGCGCGAAACUUUCGCAAUGCACGCAAGUGUGACGAAGGAACUUGGAGUGACUUUUCCGAUUUAGGAAGAGUCUUUUGUCGAGUGUAAAAAGCUCGGCGAAUAAGGGGUGGGUAACACAGGUGCCAGCAGCC